UACAGAGGGGGCAAGCGUUGGUCGGAAUUACUGGGCGUAAAGGGCGCGUAGGCGGCCUUCUAAGUCGAACGUGAAAUCCCCGGGCUCAACCCGGGAACUGCGUCCGAUACUGGAAGGCUUGAAUCCGGGAGAGGGAUGCGGAAUUCCAGGUGUAGCGGUGAAAUGCGUAGAUAUCUGGAGGAACACCGGUGGCGAAGGCGGCAUCCUGGACCGGUAUUGACGCUGAGGCGCGAAAGCCAGGGGAGCAAACGGG
rnacentral:rRNA from 1 species